AAAAUGCGAUACUUGGUGUGAAUUGCAGAAUCCCGUGAACCAUCGAGUUUUUGAACGCACGUUGCGCCCGAAGCCAUCCGGCUGAGGGCACGCCUGCCUGGGCGUCACGCAUCGCGUCGCUCCCCACCAUACCUCCCCAACGGGUUGGCAUGGUGUUGGGGGCGGAUAAUGGCCUCCCGUGCUUGUGUUUCGGUUGGCCUAAAUAAGAGUUCCCUUCGGCGGACACACGACUAGUGGUGGUUGAAUAGACCCUCGUCUUUUGUUGCGUGUCGUGAGCUGUAAGGGUAGCCCUCAUCAAAGACCCCAUUGUAUCGUCUUCGGAUGAUGCUUCGACCGCGACCCCAGGUCAGGCGGGACUACCCGCUGAGUUUAAGC
rnacentral:misc_RNA from 1 species